AGCAGCCGCGGUAAUUCCAGCUCCAAUAGCGUAUAUUAAAGUUGUUGCAGUUAAAAAGCUCGUAGUUGAAUUUCGGGGUUAGUAGGUUGGUCAUGCCUCUGGUACGUACUGGUCUCACUGAUUCCUCCUUCCUGAUGAGCCGUAAUGCCAUUAAUUUGGUGUUGCGGGGAAUUUGGACUGUUACUUUGAAAAAAUUAGAGUGUUUAAAGCAAGCUAACGCUUGAAUACAUUAGCAUGGAAUAAUGAAAUAGGACGUUCGAUCCUAUUUUGUUGGUUUCUAGGAUUGACGUAAUGAUUAAUAGGGAUAGUUGGGGGCAUUAGUAUUCAAUUGUCAGAGGUGAAAUUCUUGGAUUUAUUGAAGACUAACUACUGCGAAAGCAUUUGCCAAGGAUGUUUUCAUUAAUCAAGAACGAAAGUUAGGGGAUCGAAGACGAUCAGAUACCGUCGUAGUCUUAACCAUAAACUAUGCCGACUAGGGAUCGGAUGAUGUUAAUUUUUUAAUGACUCAUUCGGCGCCUUA
rnacentral:misc_RNA from 1 species